UACAGAGGUGGCAAGCGUUGUUCGGAAUUACUGGGCGUAAAGGGCGCGUAGGCGGCCUUCUAAGUCGGACGUGAAAUCCCCAGGCUUAACUUGGGAACUGCGUCUGAUACUGGGAGGCUUGAGUGCGGGAGAGGGAUGUGGAAUUCCAGGUGUAGCGGUGAAAUGCGUAGAUAUCGGGAGGAACACCAGUGGCGAAGGCGGCCUUCUGGACCAAUACUGACGCUCAUGCACGAAAGCGUGGGGAGCAAACAGG
rnacentral:rRNA from 1 species